UAUAUCGGAACGUACCCGAGAGUGGGGGACAACCAGUCGAAAGAUUGGCUAAUACCGCAUACGAUCUACGGAUGAAAGUGGGGGACCUUCGGGCCUCACGCUCCUGGAGCGGCCGAUAGCUGAUUAGCUAGUUGGUGGGGUAAAUGCCUACCAAGGCGAUGAUCAGUAGCUGGUCUGAGAGGACGAUCAGCCACACUGGGACUGAGACACGGCCCAGACUCCUACGGGAGGCAGCAGUGGGGAAUUUUGGACAAUGGGGGCAACCCUGAUCCAGCAAUGCCGCGUGAGUGAAGAAGGCCUUCGGGUUGUAAAGCUCUUUUGUCAGGGAAGAAAAGGGCUGGGUUAAUACCCUGGUUUCAUGACGGUACCUGAAGAAUAAGCACCGGCUAACUACGUGCCAGCAGCC
rnacentral:rRNA from 1 species